UACAGAGGCCCCAAGCGUUACUGAGAAUCACUGGGUUUAAAGGGUGCGUAGGUGGCGCGUUAAGUCCGUUGUGAAAUCCCUGGGCUCAACCCAGGAAUUGCUUCGGAUACUGGCGUGCUUGAGGCCGGUAGGGGUCACUGGAACUGACGGUGGAGCGGUGAAAUGCGUAGAUAUCGUCAGGAACGCCGAUGGUGAAGACAGGUGACUGGGCCGGAACUGACACUGAGGCACGAAAGCGUGGGGAGCGAACGGG
rnacentral:rRNA from 1 species